UUGUGGAGGAGGACGCCGAAGGUGGGGCUAAUGACUGGGGUGAAGUCGUAACAAGGUAGCCGUACCGGAAGGUGCGGCUGGAUCACCUCCUAACAGGGAGACAACAAAAUGUUUAAUAUUAUUAUUUUGUCACCUUAGGUCGAUCGGUAUCUCACGUUUUUAAUUUAUUAAGAAUUUCAUUUCCUAAGUUUUUCUAGGUCACACCCAUUAUUUUUCCUGGGCCAUUAGCUCAGGUGGUUAGAGCGCACCCCUGAUAAGGGUGAGGUCCCUGGUUCAAGUCCAGGAUGGCCCAUAUCUCUAUGUUGGGGGUAUAGCUCAGUUGGUAGAGCGCCUGCUUUGCAAGCAGGACGUCAGCGGUUCGAGUCCGCUUACCUCCACUGAUUACCACCUCUUCCAUAACCGGUAGAAAGGAAAUGUUUUGAGUUGUGAUCAAAUUCUGAAAGAAUCUAGCUUCCUAAUGAAAUCAUUAAGAUGCUGGACUCAUUGAAUUAAUUUCAUUGUUUUCAGAGAACCUUGACAACUGCAUAGAUUAUUUUUAAAGACAAUAAGCAUCUUUAAUGAUGCAGAUUUAUUAUUUGUGCGAAUGCAUUAAAUAACAAUUCUAUUAAGCUGAUGCUUCAAUUUUGAAGUUAUUGGUCAAGCUACAA
rnacentral:misc_RNA from 1 species